AUACUUAAACUAGAAUGAUUCAAAAUCAAUGCGGAAGAGUAAAAGGAUUAAACUGGCUUGGAAACACAUCCCAAAACAUAAUUGUAAACAGGAAAUCAGAAUGGAGUGGGUGUAUUUCUCGUGGGGUCUCCAAGAUUGUUUUGUAGCCCUAAAUGACCAAAUGUUUUACAAGUGGCUAUGCAGAAAACAGCAGUCAGGCACCAGCAUGGCACAAGACACAAGGCCUCAGCUGGGGCUGCUUGGUGAGACAGGCAGGUGAAAUGACAACUCCCUUCCGCUGCAGCCACUUGCUCAGAGCUCCUGGUGAAGUCCAAGAACACGUGAUCCUCAAGGCAAAGCAGCACAAACAGUGAUGAAAUACUUGAACUGCAGCUGUCCCCAUAAGAAGCAACAAACAACACUGUCAGGGUGCCCAGGUUCUUGUCUGGCUCUCCAGUCCAUAUGAGAAGAGUCAUUGAUGCAAAGAUGGGCCCUACCAGUUAGGGGUGAGAUUGUGCUAGAAGAAGUUGCAAUGCGGAAGAGAAGUUGCUUAUGGCAUGUGAAGAAUUAAGCUGUUCUAGAUGGGAUGCCAGGAGGUCUUUGACCUGCUAGUCUGUGAAGAAAGGUCCUUUUUUAGGUUCCUAAGUAUGCCUGGAUUCAAAGUAGAGUUUGCUCCAGCUGAGCUCCCAGCCAUUUUCCCUGCUGAUGAGUUUUCCUGUUUACUGUCGUUGCACAGGGUGGACUGAUAGAGUUUAUAACAACUUGGAUGGAGCAGGGGAAGUUAAACGUAGCAUCUGAGAGAAUAAAGAAUGAGGAUUAAGUACUGUGCAGGCUAUGGGGCUGAGUUAAGGCCAUUAGCUGCAAGAAAGAAAUGGCAGUGGUAGGCAUUUCCAGAUCUGAGUGUAAGUGUAGCUGGAAGCUACAGGGCAGCAGGACCUCCUGGCUCUACAUAAAAUAGAACAGUGCUUCCAGAGCUCCCUAAAAUACUCUUGCAUCAAAACUAAUGAACAGAUAAUCCUUGCUUUCUGCUAAUGCAAAUGACUAGACAGGUAACAAUGCCAUUUAAAGCCUGAUCCACCUCUGUACACAGAGUAGGCACAAAAGAAUGCUGGCUUAGGUUUAGAAAUCUGAGAUGUGAAGCAAGAUCAAGUACGGUUACUUGAGGAGGAAAUAAGGGUCAGGAUGUCCAUGCAUGUCCACACAUGGCUUAUAAAACUGGUGAUUGGGUCGUCUUGGCACUGUGAUGAUGAUGUCCCUACUGAUGGAGCCUUCUCCUGCCUCACCUCCCAGUGCUGGCUGGCUGCUGGUUUUGUUUUUGUUUUUUUUUCCUUUUUAAGGCCUUAUAAAAGGCUGUUUAGUUUUGCUUUUAAAGGGUGAAGAGGGGAAAAAACAGCUUCCAGAAAAAAACAACAGCUCAAGCUCCAGGAGCCAGAUCUUAGCAUGAGAACCCGACCCACUGUAGGGGAGGGCUGUGUCAGAUCACUGCAUGCUCCAGGAGCAAGAAUUCAGUGCCUGCUGAAAAGCCACAGAACUCAGACCCUAUUUGAAAGAGUAACAUCUUUGAUAUAAAACAAAAACAAAAAACAAACAAACAAACAAAAAAAACCACCCACCACCCAGCCAAUGAAAAGCCUCAGACAUACAGGAUCCCAUUCAUGGUGGGAGGGAUUUAGUGGAAGUAUUUUCCUCCUUUAAGGUUUGGCACAGCCUUAAAGGAGUCUCUUUAAAAGCUUCCAGAGCCGAUUAUAUUUUGGAUUGUGUUUCAAAUCACCCUUCCCCCACCACGUUUGGUGGGUCCUCAAACAAGUUCCCAGAAUAAAUUAGACAUAAUGGUAGCAGGGAUUUUUUGUUGUUGUUGUUGUUGUUUCUUGAAGAGGAGGAAGGAAUAAAUGACACCAAAUUCUGUAAUGGAAAGAGAAAAAAAAAAAAAAAGUAGUGUGUAUCGGAAACUGCUGCUGAGUGACUCACGCUGCCGGACAAACGGAACCUCACUCAUCACUUCAUCUUCAUCCUCCUCCUCCUCUGAAUGGAGGGGAGCCGCCCCCAACCCCAACAAAAACCACCAUCUUCUGCAAAUGUUUGGCACUGUCUACCAGAAGGCCACUUAAAAUGCAAUUUUUUCUGACUGCCAGUUGCAUCCAGCCCAGCUGUGGGCACAGGGAAGCAUUCACCAGCACAUUCCCUGCCCAGCAAACGCCUUUUCGGCUCUGGGAGACCUGGGCUAAGCAGGUAGAUGCAAUGGCUGUGUUCCACCAAGCUACAUAGCUCGCUCAAGGAGACGCUGUGUCUUGUUUGUUGUUCACAAACAGCUGAGGUUGUUGUCAUCCCAUGAUGCCUCUUUCAGUCCAACUACUUUGCCUCCACAUCUUCCCCUUAUAAGGCUCUGCCCUCCAUCUGGCACCGUCUGCUCUCUCCAAUCCAGCUUUCCUCAUUGCCAGCUCAGGUUUGUGCAUCACGGUGUCUGCAGAACCACAAGAGCCCACAGGAUGAUGGAAAGGAGCGAUGCCAAAAGCAAAGAGUGGCCUGCAACAGCAAAUUGAGGCAGCGACAAGCCAUCUGAGAACACAGGACAAGGGCAAUGGUUUUCUUUACCCAAUUGACACCCUGCAGGGAUAUAUACACAAAAUCUGCCCUUUUGACAAGAGACAUCCUCUCCUUUAAUUGGCAGGUAGCUACCUUGGAGCUCCUUUCCUCACCUACAGCCCUUCUCUGGGCUCACAAAGCUGAAGCCCCAUCCCCAUUCUGUUCCUGACAAAGCUGGGGCAACAGCAGGCCCUAUUCCUGCCACCCCCCAGUGCCUCCAGGCUAGGGAUGAGCCCCAGCUGCCUUCCCCAGCUGAGCCUGUAAGCAAUUGCUGAACAGUAAAUGACUUUCAGCUGGACUGUGUUAACUAUGGGUGGUGCUGCCCUGAGAGAUGGCUGCAGGGAGCACUGGCUCUAUUUAAGGCAGUAUACAACCCCUUCUGGGCUGUAAGCGUGGAGGGGAUAGAUAUGUUGAGGUGGUGUCCUUGGUGGUUGCUUGUGAUCUCUAGGAGUGCUGUGCUUGUGGCCCUGGAAAAGCCUUCCUGACUCCUGCUUCUACAAGUGGAGUUCUGGGAAGACUGUGGGGAGUGAAUGGUGGAUGGUACCCAGCCUAUCUGAAGCCUAAGGUAACAUCUGAUUGCAAAGCCAUCUCUCCUCCCAUGCAAAUGGACAGAAUGCUGGAAGGUUUCUGUGAUGGGCUGCAGGCAAAGCCUGAAGUCAGGAACAUAAGGGGUAGUCAGGCUAGGAGAGCUUGACCCAGUUCAGAGCAGCAUAGUUCACUGCCACUUGGAACUUUCUUGGCCUUCAUAAGCUUAGGCCUUGCAGAAGCUGACUGGAGAGGCAAUUUCUGUGUGCCAAAAUGCCUAUCUGUCAUUCAAGAUACUUUAGGGUUUUGGUAUUUGACUGACACCCCCACACGUCUGUCUGUCUGGGAAGUAUUGGCAGUUCUCAUAAAGCAUGAAAGUUUACUGCUUUCCAGGGUAACUUCUAACAUGGUGUUUGUGCAUGUGGAAAGUAAAAUACUUGUCUCUCGCUCUAAUAAGUGCAGCCUGUCUUUCAAGAGGACCUUUUGCUGUUUUAGUACCUUUCUUAUGCCUCUUGUGUUCAGUAUCAGCUGUUUCUAGGAUGCUUUUCCUGAGGAGCAAGGAACAGGAAGGGGCAUUGUCCAAUUUGCCAACAAAGGCGAUAGUGAUAUUGCCUCCUCUUCCUAUUUCAUUGAGGUGAUAGAGAACUUUUGUUGCAGUGCUCCUGUUCCCAGCUCUAAGGAGGAUCUCAGGUCUGAGGACAGCAGCUUUGGUGUGGUUUGACUAAUGACCACUAAUGACUCAUUGCACCAAGCCCGGCCACACUGAUGGAGGAGGUGAUGCUCUGAUAGAGGUUUUCAACACCUGCCUGCUGAGUGAUAACUGGCUUGGUUUCCUGGUCUCCUCUGUCAGCACAGGUUUGGAUGCAGCCAGCUGCUUGAAGAUGGUUCUUCAAUUCCAUGCACAAGUUGUGGGCAAUCUGUGGGGAACCUGUGGUUUGUGGGAAAACAGUUCCCUGAGCCUUUGCGGCCACUGAGACCCUGGAAGAAGAUUCCAGCUCUUUGCACAGACUCACUGCUGUACCCAGUGCCCAGGGCUGGAAUAGCACAGUCAGGGAACCUUCUGGCAUUGUUAACAUCUGCUGCUGCCUGAGUCGCACAGAGAAACAAGUGCUAAAAUCCUGUGUCUAAAAGAUGAUUGAUGUCUCCAUCUUCUCCUGUUCUUCAGUCCAUUUACUUUUCUAAACGCUUGGAAAUACUGUUUCUGAAGAAGAGACACUGAAACAAACCCUGCUAUCGGCUGCUGGAUUGAAUUCUAAAUGCUGACCCACAUGCGAAUUUUGUGAUUGGUUCCAUUUGUUACAACGAGUGGAACUAAUUCUCUGGAUCCAAGUAUAAUUAGAUGAAUCUAGAUCAUAAGUCUGGGAAUUGCACCCAAAAACAUGAAGUUCAUUUCCCUUUGUUCUCUCGUUUCACUGAAUAACAAUAGUAAGUACUAGCCUUUCCUGUUCAGAAUCUAUUAGGGCCAAUGAAGGAAAAAGCACGGCAACCUAUGGGAACAGCACAUCUUUACAAGCUUGCAGAACUGAAGUGGUGGAGGAAGGUAGCUAUACAUGCCUCAGGGAGGUUACAGACAAUUUGCUUUUUAUUUUCUCCUAAUACCGUGACCUUUGUACCUUUACCUGUAUUUGAUAGUUUUUAUUACCUGUUUUGCUUCCUUGUAACGUGUCAGUAGUUUAACUGUUGCUUUGUCAUAUUGAGGUGAUGCAGGUUCUUGUCAGUCUUGGAAUGACUGGGAUCAGCGCUUCUCCUCUUGUGUUUAAAGCCUGAAGACUUCUUCAUGUCUGCAUCGAGUCUGGCUUUUGUUUUUCUUCAUCCUGAGAGAUCUAACCCACUAGCAACCCCAGCGCAAACAAGAGAACAACACCAUCUCUUUAGUAUGGAAGAACGUAUAACUGCUUCAGAAAGCAUUGCUGUUGCAGCAUCAAUCUGAAAGCUUGACUAUCCUGGAGCUUUUAGGUUGGUUACUGUUCUGCUAAAAUAAAAACCUGAGCUCAUGAGUGA